GGCAUCCCAACUGUGUUGCUCUUCCAGUUUGGUACGCACUGCACCGAAUUUACCGGAGAGGGAUUUAAAAAAGGCUCCUUUUGCGAGCACGGAACUUCACCGGGGCUACAAUCCAAUCUGGCUCGCUGUCCUCUGCACGGGAACGUGCGGUUGGGAGUACCAAAACCGGCUGUGACACGUCUCAAGUUAAGAGCUUCACAAUCAAGAUGGCUGCAAAGAUCUAACUGCAGCUCGUAUUUCCCUGGAGGGCAACAAGGAAGCGCUUUGGGGUGCAUCAGCGUUGUGCCACGUCGACAGUAAACAGCCCGGAGCAAAACAGCAGGCUGUACGGCUCCUAUCGAUGAGCGUCCUCAUAGGAAGUCCUGCACCCAGAGGGGCGGCUGCCUUGCAUCCAGCUCAGAGUAUCAUUAAAGAGGAGCAGUGCCGCCAGACGUACUGAUGUCUAACUAUGGCUUUCUCUAUGGCUACAUCACGCAAGCUAGAAGAACAUGCAGGCGUGUACAGGUAUU